CCGCCCUUAAAGGGCCAAGCUGCUGUGAGGGCCGAGGGUAGUCGCGGGGGAUGCCCUUGGCCCAAAAAUGACAGUUGUGCCGCUGGGCGCCGCGGUUCCUAGGGAGCUCCGGGGAACGGGACCACUGGCCCUAGAGCUGUCGGCGCCUUCCCUUUUCCUCUCCCCAUGUGUAGCCACAGGCUUCGGCAGCCAUCCUCCGUCGAACCCUGGUCCUCUGCAGGCCUCUCCCCGUGACACAAAGUCCUUGCCCCGGCCCUGCACUUAAUAGGUCCUUGCCAAGAAUACGCUGAGCUAGGACAAGAAGAUUGCUGACCUGGAAAUGUGGGAGAUGAUGUUGACACCUUUAAUAACAAGGAUGUCAAUGAUUUGACUGAUUGGUGCCCUCUGGUGGUAAAGAAAACGGGACACACGCCUUCAGUCUGUAUGGCAUCACCUGGUGCUCUUCAAGAGAGGGCUCUCUUGAAGAAUUCUUUCUUCCAAAGAGAAAUGAUAUGGAAAUCUUGAAAGAUAAAUGAGAGGAUUUCAGAAGUUUAUUUAUUAGGGAGGGAAGAGGUAUAAAGAAACUUCAGUUAUCUGAUACAAGCUCAGUAGGGGCAGGUCUCUGUCACUAUCACACACAAGGAGGGAUGAAUUGCAAGAGGAGGAUUUUCA